CCCUUAGAUGUUCUGGGCCGCACGCGUGCUACACUGAGUGGAUCAGCGGGUCAGGUUGCGCGAAAGUGUUUCCUAAUCUUGAAAUCCGCUCGUGAUGGGGAUUGACGGUUGCAAUUUUCCGUCAUGAACGAGGAAUACCUUGUAAGCGCGGGUCAUCAUCCCGCGCUGAAUACGUCCCUGCCCUUUGUACACACCGCCCGUCGCUCCUACCGAUUGAGUGGUCCGGUGAGGCUUUGGGAUUUGAGCAAAAAGAGCGUUUCGCUCGUUUGGCUCGGAAAACUCAGUCGAACCUUAUCAUUUAGAGGAAGGAGAAGUCGUAACA
rnacentral:rRNA from 1 species